ensembl:lncRNA
GAAAUAGAUUCAACCAUUGUCACAGUUACAAGAAACUGUUACAAGUUACAAACUGUUUCAAAGUUACAAAAAUGUGAGAUAUGAAGUCAGUUAGAGAUAUAAAUAUAUAGUGAGAGAUAUAAAGUUACAUUGUUAAAUAUGGAGUUGCAAUUACGAAAAACAAAGUCAAAUAAAGUCAGAACUGGGAGACAUAAAGCCAUAAAUAGGAGACAUAAGGUCGCUAUUAUGAGGAACAGUUUCACUUCAUUUAUUUAUUUAUUUAUUUAUUUAUCUUUCUGUUCCACAGAAACAGGCUUCGACAUAAACUGAACAGACCUACACACAUUUAAAACUAAAUAACAAAUGACCAAAAACAAUCUGGAGACAUAUGUCCAAACAUGUUUGGGCAGUAGUGACAUCCAUUCAGGAUGGAGGAAAAACCUGAGAAGAAACACAUGCAUUUCACACUCCUGUAAAUCACAUGAUUCAGGAAUGAACUGAAAUUGUUUGUACCAGAAGGAAAAUAAUGUUUCUGUGCUGAGUAUUUGUGUUCUGUGUUUGUGCGUGCACAGUGUGUUUAUUGGUCUCAGGCCACUUCUUAGAUGCACUGUGACUGGAAACAGCUGUCAGUAAGAACAUCAUGUGUCCACAGUCUUAUUCAAAGGAACGAUGAUGAGCCAGUGAUAAAGCAAAAUAAAGCAAAAUUUGAGCUUCGACAGAUAAAGAGAUUGUGUGAGAUCACACCAUUCACUGAUUUCUUCAGUUAAGAAGGCUGUUAGGACCUGUGAAACAACCGUUCUCACCAUUCACAACUCUUGCAACCCGUCCUGAACACCUCUCCAAACAACCGCCCUCACCAUUCACACCUCCUGCAUCCCCCCUCUCCCCCACACCUGCAAUACAGAUAAGCGAGGAUGCGGUGCGCCAGGUCUUCCGGAAGCAGAAAAGGAAAAAAGCACCAGGCCCAGACUGUGUUACACCAGCUUGUCUGAAAUCCUGUGCUGACCAGCUGGCCCCCAUCUUCACACAGAUCUUCAACAGAUCACUGGAGCUGUGUGAAGUCCCUUCAUGCUUCAAACGCUCCACCAUCAUCCCCAUCCCAAAGAAAUCCAAAAUUACAGGACUAAAUGACUAUAGGCCUGUGGCUUUAACGUCUGUGGUCAUGAAGUCAUUUGAAAAACUGGUGCUGGCCCACCUGAAGGACAUUACUGGACCCUUACUGGAUCCUCUUCAGUUUGCCUACAGAGCAAACAGGUCUGUGGACGAUGCAGUAAACAUUGGACUGCAUUAUGUUCUGCAACACCUAGACAGACCAGGGACUUAUGUGAGGAUCCUGUUUGUGGACUUCAGCUCGGCCUUUAACACGAUCAUCCCAAACCUUCUCCUGCCCAAACUAACUCAGCUCUCUGUGCCCACCUCCGUCUGUCAGUGGAUCAACAUCUCCCUGACAGACAGCCAGCAGCUUGUUAGCCUGUGAGUUUACAUCUCCAACUAU